rnacentral:rRNA from 1 species
UUUGAUGGCGACCGGCGCACGGGUGAGUAACACGUAUCCAACCUGCCGAUGACUCGGGGGUAGCCUUUCGAAAGAAAGAUUAAUACCCGAUGGCAUAGUUCUUCCGCAUGGUAGAACUAUUAAAGAAUUUCGGUCAUCGAUGGGGAUGCGUUCCAUUAGCUUGUUGGCGGGGUAACGGCCCACCAAGGCAUCGAUGGAUAGGGGUUCUGAGAGGAAGGUCCCCCACAUUGGAACUGAGACACGGUCCAAACUCCUACGGGAGGCAGCAG